AAAAUAUGAAUUUAGGGGCCAGGCUCACAUCCGUAACCGCAGCACUUUGGGAGGCCAAGGUGGGUAGAUCACCUGAGAUCAGGAGUUCGAGACCAGCUUAUCCAACAUGGUGAAAUCCUGUCUCUACUAAAAAUACAAAAAUCAGCCAGGCUUGGUAGC